GAUGAUCCAGCUCUGUCGGAGGCACGGAGGCACAGUCAAAUCUCAUGCUGUACAUUGAUCACCUGUCCAACCUUUGCCUAGAGUGGGAGCCCCCAGUUCCUUCAAGAGAUCCAACUUUACCUGUCUGUAAAGAAGAAGAGGAGGAGGGAGACAGCAGGGAGGAUCCGGUGGCAGUUUAACACCAGAGCAGGUCCAAUGUUUACUCUUACCCUUUUGGAGCUAUCAGAAGGGCUGACUAAAGGGGAAAUGCAGCUCUGCAGCAAUAUUCUGAUAAUCUAUUGCAGUGCAGCUCACAUCACUGUCCAUCACCACCUGGAACGCUCAUCAGGACUGAAGAGGAGUUUUCACUUUCAUUAUUGAGCACAAUUCUGUUCGACCUGAUAUUUCUUUCAUCAUCUCACGUUGUUUCUCUUGGAUUCAGACAUGUUGGAAAAGAGAAUGUGGAGGAGGAGAAAAAAUGGCAGAGCCUCCAUUUGGGGGGGGGGGACUUGGGCAUUUAAAAUGUGUUCAUCUCUUCUGAGUGUUAUUAUCUGAUAACAUUUUACUUAUGUUAUGUUACUUACGCAUCACCCGAUAAAUUUGAACUCCAUGGGAUUUUAACUUGGAUUCACUUUCUGUUGGACAACUAGCUCCACCUUCCACUUUUCUGCUGGUUGAGUCUAAGUGGUCAUCCCUAAUGCAUUAGAUUAUCAAAAAGUGUAAAUUCUAUGAGUGAGUGGUGUUGGCAGUGUUUGUAUACCAAGAUGCAUGGAAUGUUUGACAAAGAAACCAAAACACCAAAAAUGGUGAGCCUUUACCCUCCUCUAUUUCUUUAAUCCGCUGUUUGAAGAACCAUAUUUUGAUGGCGGAACCAGUAGUUACCUCUGGGCCAGGUUGGAAAUGAAAUCAAUUUUUUAAACCACUAAUACUUGCCAAGAAAUCGCCUUAUGAGAACAUGGUGUGUGUCUCUGACAAUGCAUGGCACAUCAAAAUUGAUCAUCAUAGUUUUCUCUACCCUGAUUUUGUACUGGGGAGUGGCCAAAGCCUGAGGCACCCGCAUAUUUCUCUUCCAUGUGUUUCAUGCAUCCCCUGUGGCUGGGAUGUGACCGAGCCUCAGACUCUCACCACUCCUGUACAUGCAGGUCUCCAUGAAGAGGCUGGGACACAUUCACAUUCAAGAUUCAAAUGCUGUGCAUACAGUGCAAGCUUAGAUCUUCUGUAAACGGAGGGUCAUUUCUCAUUUUUUUUAAAUGUCUCCACCAUGGAUUCCAAAACAUUUUCAGCAUCAGACAUGAAAACAUUGAUGAAUGAGGAAUAAUCACAAAAGCUGUGUAUCUGUAUAUAGCUCUACACAACAUGUUUGUGAUACGGAGUCAUUAUUUAAAGCACAUGCCAGGGAAAGAGACCGAAUUUUGAGGUCUUUUACAUACAGUGACAUGGUACUAAGGAGAAUUAAACUCCUCCUGCUUCCUCUGAAGAUUACAAAAAAUUAAAAGUUGUUAUAACUUCGUAAAACUCAUGACCAAGUCUGGUAAACAUGUGCAACUCUUGUGUUGAUUUGUCAAUGGAAGAAACCCUUCCACGUAUGCAAGUGGGGGAUGAAAAUCUUUCAUUUUUAAAGGACAAACAGUGAAUUUAAGCAUGAGUGGCCUUAAUAAAUAUAGUUGUAUCUCUUUGCUGCUGUGGAAAGGAUUCUAAGCAGAUAAUUCCUAAAGUCUUGCUUUGAAUUUAGUCAUUAUUAUUACUUUUUAAAAUGUUGGUGCAAUUAACUCUGGACCUCUUCUGUGAGCCAUAGAGAUAUUUAAAAGUCACACACCUUAUUUAUCUAUCGGGGAAAAUGAAACUGUGUCUGGGUUGCACUGUUCAUCCUUGGUGCAUUAGGAGUAACAUACUCGAGCAAGUUUCUUGCUGCUGGCUUUGUCCUUGUCGUCAGUAAGUAUCGCAAACUGUGUAAAGCUUUCAUGUCGCAUAAGCAAUCUAAAUACAUUCAUGUUUAAAAAGUUUGUCCUUUAACUAUCGAAGGCAUCUAGGUCUUGAUUCGAGAAAUGAGCAGAGUUCUCCCCAAGCGUAUUUAACACAUUUUGACAUAAUGUCACACUGAAAACCCAGGCCACCAACUCGUCCCCAUGAACAGUUUGGAUGUCCUCAAUAGGCAGCCUCACUGCCUCCUACAGCCAGAUCUUGAUCUGAACUCUGCCACUGAAUACUUGAAGUAGGAAGUAGAAAAUCCACUAGGGAAUAUAGGGGUCCUAGAAACAGAAAAAGCAAUCAACCAUGUAUAGUUAGCUAUUUCCAGGUAUGUGCCAAUUUUGUCACAGCUAUUUUUUCAAGAGAUCAUUUUGCCCCACUUUCAUUGGUUUAAGGUAUUACCAGUAUUACCGUUAUGGGGGCAUAUCAUUUAGUCCCUUAAAAAUUAAAUUCUAUCUAACAUAGCAUCUUUUCAUUAUAGUUCACGUAAUAUUCUCUAAUGUUGUGGGGUUACCAAAAAAAUUCCCUUUUCACAUAUUAAAAGUAAUUUCUGUGUUUACAACAAACACUGUGAUGUUGGAAAGACAUUUCCUUUUCUCAAACGUUAGUGGGUUUCCCCCUUAAUCUUAACCAAGUUGAAAAAGGAAAAGUUGAGGCUAACAUUUAGACAUUGGUCUUCUUGCCUUGUGCAAAAGCAGGCGUGUACUUUAUACCCCAUUUUAUUUCAAUGUACAGUCUCAAUUUUGUAUUUAAUGAUUUUUGUGUAUCCAGUAUGCACGUUAACAGCGUGUCAACUUUCAUUUGAAAGUGGGUUUCCAUUUACUUUUUAAACAGUGUUCAUGAUGAGACCUCAAAUGUGUUGACAUAAGCUCUAUCUGAGAUGUUUUUUGUGUCGAGUGGCGUUUGAAUGCUGCCAGGGGUCAGUGUAUCUAAUUCCCAGAGACCCUCGUUUGAUAGUGCUUCUUGUAAUAUUUCUCCAAGUGAGUGGCAUGUGGGUUGUGAUAUUGACCAUGUGAUUAUGGACUUUGAUAUGAAAACAAUAAAUAAAACUAAGGAACCCUCAGAAACUACCAGUGGGCAUGUAGUAGCCAGUCAUUGUAACCUCAUGUCUAGUAGAAGUACAACGUGCAAGGUAUGUACAGUUCAUGAAUUUGUUAUCACGUGUAUGAGAAGUAAUUUGUGCUGAUCGCCUUAUUUAUAUUCAUCAAAUAAACUUUGUUUCUUUCUGAAG
rnacentral:lncRNA from 1 species